rnacentral:rRNA from 1 species
AUUGAACGCUGGCGGCAGGCCUAACACAUGCAAGUCGAGCGAGCGGCGGACGGGUGAGUAAUGUAUGGGGACUGCCCGAUAGAGGGGGAUAACUACUGGAAACGGUAGCUAAUACAGCAUACUAUCGGAUAACCCAUAUGGGAUUAGCUAGGAGGUGAGGUAAUUGCUCACCUGGGCGACGAUCCCUAGCUGGUCUCAGAGGAUGAUCAGCCACACUGGGACUGAGAGACGGCCCAGACUCCUACGGAGGCAGCAGGGGGGAAUAGUGCACAAUGGGCGCAAGCCUGAUGCAGCAAUGCCGCGUGUAUGAAGAAGGCCCUAGGGUUGUAAAGUACUUUCAGUCGGGAGGCGUUACCUACAGAAGAAGCACCGGCUAACUCCGUGCCAGCAGCCGCGGUAAUUC